AGAGUUUGAUCCUGGCUCAGGAUGAACGCUAGCGGGAGGCUUAACACAUGCAAGUCGAGCGGCAAGGCAGCAAUGCCCUAGAGCGGCGCACGGGUGAGUAACGCGUAUGCAACCUGCCUUUUACAGGGGGAUAGCCCGGAGAAAUUCGGAUUAAUACCCCAUGGAACUAUAAAGCCGCAUGGUUUAAUAGUUAAAGAUUUAUCGGUAAAAGAUGGGCAUGCGUGACAUUAGCUAGUUGGCGGGGUAACAGCCCACCAAGGCUACGAUGUCUAGGGGUUCUGAGAGGAUGAUCCCCCACACUGGUACUGAGACACGGACCAGACUCCUACGGGACGCAGCAGUGAGGAAUAUUGGUCAAUGGGCGCAAGCCUGAACCAGCCAUCCCGCGUGAAGGAUGAAUGUACUAUGUAUUGUAAACUUCUUUUCUGCAAAGAGAAAGGGCACUACGUGUAGUGUUUUGACGGUAUUGCAGGAAUAAGCAUCGGCUAACUCCGUGCCAGCAGCCGCGGUAAUACGGAGGAUGCGAGCGUUAUCCGGAUUCAUUGGGUUUAAAGGGUGCGUAGGCGGUUUUUUAAGUCAGUGGUGAAAUCCUGCGGCUCAACCGUAGAACUGCCAUUGAAACUGAAGAACUUGAAUAUAGUUGAGGUAGGCGGAAUGUGCAGUGUAGCGGUGAAAUGCUUAGAUAUUGCACAGAACACCGAUUGCGAAAGGCAGCUUACCAAGCUAUUAUUGACGCUGAGGCACGAAAGCGUGGGGAUCGAACAGGAUUAGAUACCCUGGUAGUCCACGCCUUAAACGAUGUUCACUCGCUGUUUGCGAUAUACCGUAAGCGGCCAGCGAAAGCAUUAAGUGAACCACCUGGGGAGUACGUCGGCAACGGUGAAACUCAAAUGAAUUGACGG
rnacentral:rRNA from 1 species